GUGGUACAGUGUAGAUCGCAUCUAAGUGCAUAAUCAAAACAAGUAUUUUUAUUUACGCCCAGAGACAGAUUUAUUAAUAAUUUGUUGUCUAAAUUUCAAUCAAGUGCAUUAUGAUACUUUGAUUCUUCCUAUGAUCAUCAACAAGAAUUCCAUCAAGGAGUCCAGAUCCGUAAUAUUUCAGAACUAGGAUUAUAGAACCAAAAAAAUAUAGUGCUCCGGGAUUUCACUCAACUCCGGGAUUCAUUCGGAUUGAUCGUUGGAUUUUCCGUUCAAAUCUCCAUCCGAUGCGAAUUACUUUCGGAGUCAUCAAGUGAACGGAAGUGAUCCUGGUAUGGAGCCGUAAUUAUAUUUGCGUUGGAUUGAAUGAUCAACGGCACCGGGCGGAAACGGAUCGCUUGAUGAUGUUGCUACCUGAAGAAUAAAAUUCCGCACCGAAAUCAAAGUUGCCAUCGUUAAGGCGUCUAUUGAUGGUUCGUUGAUAUUCGUGGCCUCAAGAGUGUAGCCGAUUCCAGGGCCGAUUCACUAUGGACAAAAGAUACUUUAGUUACCAGAUAAAGAUUGUCGCUGUCGUCGCUGUCCGGAACAUCUUUUGCUGGCUAAAUGUCAAAGAAGAAAAAUCCAUACGUUUUUAUAGCUUGGUACCCAACAUGCUACGGACAGCAGAAUAAAGGGAACCGAAGCGGCAAUCUUUAUCUGGUAACCAAAAUAUCUUUUCUAUGGACCAAUUUUGUUAUAGCCGCAAGGCCUUGGCGGCAUUUGUGUGUCGGAAGCAGGAACUGACAAGUGACGUUGGAAAGCAAAACAGUAACCUUGUUGGCAGCUAUAUGAACUAAUUGUUGAGUGCCACCGGGCCGUCGAUUUUUUAGUGCUUAAGAAGUCUGAGAUCUUUAAGAUCUAACGUUAACGAUUGUAGAUUCAAUAUGUUUUCUAUGCAAUGUAGUGAGAAUAUAAAUUGGUAUUUAUGACCAUAUAUGGCAUAUAAGAUAGUUAAGGAAUAGCGCCAAUGGGCGAAUUAAUGAUGAUCCCAGUCUAACCAAUGACAUUAAACUAUAACUGAAAUGUAAAUCAUACAUUAUUAUAUUGUUGUAAUAAAAACAAAUAAAAUAUGUCCAAUUAAA